GCAGUGGGGAAUAUUGCACAAUGGGCGCAAGCCUGAUGCAGCCAUGCCGCGUGUGUGAAGAAGGCCUUCGGGUUGUAAAGCACUUUCAGCGGGGAGGAAGGCGUUAAGGUUAAUAACCUUGGCGAUUGACGUUACCCGCAGAAGAAGCACCGGCUAACUCCGUGCCAGCAGCCGCGGUAAUACGGAGGGUGCAAGCGUUAAUCGGAAUUACUGGGCGUAAAGCGCACGCAGGCGGUCUGUCAAGUCGGAUGUGAAAUCCCCGGGCUCAACCUGGGAACUGCAUUCGAAACUGGCAGGCUAGAGUCUUGUAGAGGGGGGUAGAAUUCCAGGUGUAGCGGUGAAAUGCGUAGAGAUCUGGAGGAAUACCGGUGGCGAAGGCGGCCCCCUGGACAAAGACUGACGCUCAGGUGCGAAAGCGUGGGGAGCAAACAGGAUUAGAUACCCUGGUAGUCCACGCCGUAAACGAUGUCGAUUUGGAGGUUGUGCCCUUGAGGCGUGGCUUCCGGAGCUAACGCGUUAAAUCGACCGCCUGGGGAGUACGGCCGCAAGGUUAAAACUCAAAUGAAUUGACGGGGGCCCGCACAAGCGGUGGAGCAUGUGGUUUAAUUCGAUGCAACGCGAAGAACCUUACCUGGUCUUGACAUCCACAGAACUUAGCAGAGAUGCUUUGGUGCCUUCGGGAACUGUGAGACAGGUGCUGCAUGGCUGUCGUCAGCUCGUGUUGUGAAAUGUUGGGUUAAGUCCCGCAACGAGCGCAACCCUUAUCCUUUGUUGCCAGCGGUCCGGCCGGGAACUCAAAGGAGACUGCCAGUGAUAAACUGGAGGAAGGUGGGGAUGACGUCAAGUCAUCAUGGCCCUUACGACCAGGGCUACACACGUGCUACAAUGGCAUAUACAAAGAGAAGCGACCUCGCGAGAGCAAGCGGACCUCAUAAAGUAUGUCGUAGUCCGGAUUGGAGUCUGCAACUCGACUCCAUGAAGUCGGAAUCGCUAGUAAUCGUAGAUCAGAAUGCUACGGUGAAUACGUUCCCGGGCCUUGUACACACCGCCCGUCACACCAUGGGAGUGGGUUGCAAAAGAAGUAGGUAGCUUAACCUUCGGGAGGGCGCUUACCACUUUGUGAUUCAUGACUGGGGUGAAGUCGUAACAAGGUAACCGUAGGGGAACCUGCGGUUGGAUCACCUCCUUACCUUAAAGAA
rnacentral:rRNA from 1 species